rnacentral:rRNA from 1 species
UACGUAGGGUGCAAGCGUUAAUCGGAAUUACUGGGCGUAAAGCGUGCGCAGGCGAUGAUGUAAGACAGAUGUGAAAUCCCCGGGCUCAACCUGGGAACUGCAUUUGUGACUGCAUCGCUGGAGUACGGCAGAGGGGGAUGGAAUUCCGCGUGUAGCAGUGAAAUGCGUAGAUAUGCGGAGGAACACCGAUGGCGAAGGCAAUCCCCUGGGCCUGUACUGACGCUCAUGCACGAAAGCGUGGGGAGCAAACAGG